UACGUAGGGUGCAAGCGUUAAUCGGAAUUACUGGGCGUAAAGAGCUCGUAGGCGGUUUGUCGCGUCUGCUGUGAAAACGCGAGGCUCAACCUCGCGCCUGCAGUGGGUACGGGCAGACUGGAGUGCGGUAGGGGAGAUUGGAAUUCCUGGUGUAGCGGUGGAAUGCGCAGAUAUCAGGAGGAACACCGAUGGCGAAGGCAGAUCUCUGGGCCGUAACUGACGCUGAGGAGCGAAAGCGUGGGGAGCGAACAGG
rnacentral:rRNA from 1 species